ensembl:lncRNA
GUAUGGUGUUAUAAUGUUUCAGUAUGGUGUUAUAAUGUUUCAGUAUGGUGUUAUGAUGUUUCAGUAUGGUGUUAUAAUGUUUCAGUAUGGUGUUAUAAUGUUUCAGUAUGGUGUUAUGAUAUUUCAGUAUAGUGUUAUGAUAUUUCAGUAAGGUGUUAUGAUGUUUCAGUAUGGUGUUAUAAUGUUUCAGUAUGGUGUUAUAAUGUUUCAGUAUGGUGUUAUGUUUCAGUAUGGUGUUAUGAUGUUUCAGUAUGAACAACAGGCCCGACUCAUUAUUUCCACAUGGUUGUCUCUGCUCACCUAUGGGGAUGACGGCAGGUAGGUGGGUGUGGCUCGCAGGA